rnacentral:rRNA from 1 species
UACGUAGGGGGCUAGCGUUGUCCGGAAUCAUUGGGCGUAAAGAGCGUGUAGGCGGUCCGGUAAGUCCGCUGUGAAAGUCGGGGGCUCAACCCUCGAAUGCCGGUGGAUACUGUCGGGCUAGAGUGCGGAAGAGGCGAGUGGAAUUCCUGGUGUAGCGGUGAAAUGCGCAGAUAUCAGGAGGAACACCGAUGGCGAAGGCAGGUCUCUGGGCUGACACUGACGCUCAUGCACGAAAGCGUGGGGAGCAAACAGG